rnacentral:ncRNA from 2 species
UAGUGACACAACAAAGAAGGCGCCCAAAAGGGCUUAAAAGGGAAUCCGGUGAAAAGCCGGAACUGUCCCCGCAACUGUAAAUGCGUACGAACGGCAAUACCACUGUUUUUUAAACGGGAAGGUGACCAAGUAGGACGAUGCAUAAGUCAGGAGACCUGCCUUUUUUGUCACAGUUUC